rnacentral:rRNA from 1 species
AACGAACGCUGGCGGCAGGCCUAACACAUGCAAGUCGAGCGAAGCCUUCGGGUUUAGCGGCGGACGGGCGAGUAACGCGUGGGAACGUGCCCUUUGGUACGGAAUAGCCUCGGGAAACUGGGAGUAAUACCGUAUGUGGUCGAGAGACGAAAGAUUUAUCGCCAAAGGAUCGGCCGGCGUUGGAUUAGGGAGUUGGCGGGGUAAUGGCGUACCAAGCCGACGAUCCAUAGCUGGUUUGAGAGGAUGAUCAGGCACACUGAGACUGAGACACGGCCCAAACUCCCAGGGGAGGCAGCAGUGGGAAAUCUUAGACAAUGGGGAAACCCUGAUCUAGCCAUGCCGCGUGAUCGAUGAAGGCCUUAGGGAUGUAAAGAUCUUUCAGUGGGGAAGAUAAUGACUGUACCCACAGAAGAAGCCCCGGCUAACCCCGUGCCAGCCGCCGCCGUAACAC